rfam:Pteropus alecto contig81563, whole genome shotgun sequence.
UUCAACGGCCAUGCUACCCUAAACAAGACCAAUCCCUUCUGAUCUCGGAAGCUAAGCAGGGUUGGGCCUGGUUAGUACGUGGAUGGGAGAUCAUCUAGGAAGACCAGGUGCCGUAGGCG